GAUGAAGAACGUAGCGAAAUGCGAUACUUGGUGUGAAUUGCAGAAUCCCGUGAACCAUCAAGUCUUUGAACGCAAGUUGCGCCCGAAGCCAUCAGGUUGAGGGCACGUCUGCCUGGGCGUCACAUAUCGUUGCCCAAUGCCUAUUGCAGUGCAAUAGGAAUUUCUAGGGCGAAUGAUGGCUUCCCGUGAGCGUUGUUGCCUCGCGGUUGGUUGAAAAUCGAGUCCUUGGUAGGGUGUGCCAUGGUAGAUGGUGGUCGAGUUAGAACGAUAUCGAUCAUGUGCAUGCUCCCCAAAAUAUGGCCUCUAUGACCCACACGCGUCUUUUGACGCUCAUGACGAGACCUCAGGUCAGGCGGGGCUACCCGCUGAAUUUAAGCAUAUCAAUAAGCGGAGGA
rnacentral:misc_RNA from 1 species